CUAGAAAAUUAAAUUUCUAUUAAAAAAGUGGUCAACUUCAAAUUAUGAGGUCAAAUUUUGUAGUUUACAUUAAGGCAACUAAAAUUAAAAGAUCCAAAUUCAUGAAGAACAUUUUGGUCAAACUAAAAUUAAAUUAGUUCCUUCCCCCCCCCUCCUUGGCAGUAACAACUCUUGCCUUUGACAUAUCACAUUGUUGUGACGCAGGGGUAUCCUCAAAUCUCCCAACUUUGCUUUGAGGCUACGCUCUCGUGCCGUGGAAAAUACUCCUAUCACCACCAACAACAAAAAAAAACAAAAACAAACCCUAAUUUAAACAGUAUAAAAUUAAUUAUAUACAUACAAAACAUAGAUUCUAAAAAAUUCAUGUAAUUACUGAAUAAUCAUUAUAAAUUAGUUACCAUCAAUUUAAUUAUAUUUAAAAAAUCACAGUUAAAUUAUAAAUUUAAUGAAUCAAAUAUUAUAAAUUAAUUAUCAUCAAUUUAAAUAUAUUUAAUAAAAGUGCUCGAAAUGAUAAAAUUUUAUAUCGAUAAAAGUUCGUAAGUGAGAAAGAAUGAGAAAAAUUAAUGACAAUAAAACAAAAGAAACAUGGGUAAAAUUGUAUUUUGUCUUUUAUGUGUGUGUGUGUGUAUAUAUGUGUGUGUAGGGUAUGAAU
rnacentral:lncRNA from 1 species